CGCCUUGCCAGCCCGCUCAGAAACUUAAAGGAAUUGACGGGGCCGCACAAGCGGAGGAGCAUGUGGUUAAUUCGAUGAUACGCGAGGAACCUUACCUGGGCUCGAACGUAAGAUGACUGUAGGUGUAAGCUUACAUCUCUUCGGAGCAUUUUACGAGGUGCUGCAUGGUUGUCGUCAGCUCGUGCCGUGAGGUGUCGGGUUAAGUCCCAUAACGAGCGCAACCCCUACCUUUAGUUGCCAUCAGGUAAUGCUGGGGACUCUAAAGGAACUGCCUACGCAAGUAGUGAGGAAGGCGGGGAUGACGUCAAAUCAGCACGGCCCUUACGUCCAGGGCUACACACGUGCUACAAUGGCCGAUACAGAGGGCAGCUACCUGGUGACAGGAUGCAAAUCUCCAAAGUCGGUCUCAGUUCGGAUCGGAGUCUGCAACCCGACUCCGUGAAGUUGGAUUCGCUAGUAAUCGCGCAUCAGCCAUGGCGCGGUGAAUACGUUCCCGGGCCUU
rnacentral:rRNA from 1 species